rnacentral:rRNA from 1 species
CAGUAUGUAGAUAAAUUAGAGGUUAUUUGAGAUUCAUAUUAUUUAUAUUAAAUCUAAAUAAUUUGGCGGUGCUUAUAGGUCUAUCUAGAGAAUUUUGUGUCAUAAUCGAUAGUCCUCGCUUUACCUUACUUAUAUGGAGACUCUUAUAUCGCUGUUUAGUUUGUUUUGGGAAAUUAUUAUCUUUUAAUUAAUUAUUUUAUAGUUCAAGUCAUGGUGUGGUAAGUCAUUAAGGGAGCAUGAAAUGCUUUAUUUGAGGGUAUUUAUAGUUUAAUAAUUAUAUUUUGUAGGAUUUGGUAGUAAUUAUUUUUAUUAUGGGAUAGUGGAUUGGGCUCUGAAGUGUGCACAUAUCGCCCGUCACUCCUAUUUA